rnacentral:tRNA from 1 species
GGCUCUGUGGCGCAAUGGAUAGCGCAGUGGAUUUCUAGGCUGUGAGCUGACUAAUUCAAAGGUUGUGGGUUCGAGUCCCACCAGAGUCG